rnacentral:lncRNA from 1 species
UUUUUUAACAACCAGAGGUAAAAACCCCCAAGAUCAAUGUAAGUGAUGAAAGAUGACAAAAACUAAAUUUUCAGAAACUAGAAGCUAUCUUUCUUUAUGCUCUUUCCACAUGAGCUUAGAGUAGAAUUAUGAGGGAAGAAGGGAAAAGAAAGGAAGCAGGGCUUUAAAAUUAACGUUUCCAAAAUCACUAUUUUAAAUGCAUUACAUCAAAACUCCGUUAUAAAGGCAGGAACUGUGACUCACCGGCAGGCACUGUUAAAAAGGACUACCACUGUUCUUAAGAAGCAGAUUACAAGUGGCUUAUGUUUGCUUUGCUUGAUAUUGGCAACUGAAUGGCAUUACUGGUUAAACUAGAAAAGAAAAAUUUCUGAUUAUAGAGAGAAAUAAUUCAACAAUAACAACAGCAUGCUCUUCCAAAAGAGUGGUCUCUACUCUUCUUCACUGAACCACAAGC